rnacentral:rRNA from 1 species
CAGCAGCCACGGGAAUACGUAGGGUGCGAGCGUUAAUCGGAAUUACUGGGCGUAAAGCGUGCGCAGGCGGUUUGUUAAGACAGAUGUGAAAUCCCCGGGCUUAACCUGGGAACUGCAUUUGUGACUGGCAAGCUAGAGUGUGGCAGAGGGGGGUGGAAUUCCGCGUGUAGCAGUGAAAUGCGUAGAUAUGCGGAGGAACACCGAUGGCGAAGGCAGCCCCCUGGGCCAACACUGACGCUCAUGCACGAAAGCGUGGGGAGCAAACAGGAUUAGAUACCCCGGUAGUCCCUGUCUCUUAUAC